rnacentral:rRNA from 1 species
CCUACGGGGGGCUGCAGUGGGGAAUAUUGGACAAUGGGGGGAACCCUGAUCCAGCCAUGCCGCGUGUGUGAAGAAGGCCCUCGGGUUGUAAAGCACUUUCAGUGAGGAAGAACGCCUGGAGGUUAAUACCCAUCAGGAAAGACAUCACUCACAGAAGAAGCACCGGCUAACUCCGUGCCAGCAGCCGCGGUAAUACGGAGGGUGCGAGCGUUAAUCGGAAUUACUGGGCGUAAAGCGCGCGUAGGUGGCUUGAUAAGCCUGUUGUGAAAGCCCCGGGCUCAACCUGGGAACGGCAUCCGGAACUGUCAAGCUAGAGUGCAGGAGAGGAAGGUAGAAUUCCCGGUGUAGCGGUGAAAUGCGUAGAGAUCGGGAGGAAUACCAGUGGCGAAGGCGGCCUUCUGGACUGACACUGACACUGAGGUGCGAAAGCGUGGGUAGCAAACAGGAUUAGAUACCCCGGUAGUC